rnacentral:rRNA from 1 species
UACGAAGGGGGCUAGCGUUGCUCGGAAUCACUGGGCGUAAAGGGUGCGUAGGCGGGUUUUUAAGUCAGGGGUGUAAUCCUGGAGCUCAACUCCAGAACUGCCUUUGAUACUGAAGAUCUUGAGUCCGGGAGAGGUGAGUGGAACUGCGAGUGUAGAGGUGAAAUUCGUAGAUAUUCGCAAGAACACCAGUGGCGAAGGCGGCUCACUGGCCCGGUACUGACGCUGAGGCACGAAAGCGUGGGGAGCAAACAGG